rnacentral:lncRNA from 1 species
CACGGCCGGAGCCGGCACAGCACCGGAUCGACGCACUCCAGGUUGUUCAUCAUUUUUCAAUAGUUCUACUUCGCAUUGCUUUUGUUACCUUUGCAUUACUGACAUUUGAUUUAAAAUGUUGUAGGCUGAGCUCGAAGCAUCAAGGGCCGAGCAGCAGAGGAUGGCCGAGCGGUUGGAGGCUCAAGAGCGCCAGCGAGAGGCCGACCAGCUUGCCCAUCAGCAGCAGAUGGCAGAAAUGAUAGCGUUCCUGCAGUCGGUUGGGGCCCAGACAGGUGUAGCCCUGCCAGCUACGCUACUGGCUCCACGUCAACCCCCGCAUGUAUUUACUACUCCUAUUAAUACUCCUGUGAGGAAACUCAAAGACACAAGUAAGCCCUAAACUAGUUAUUGCCAUCA